GUUACUAUUAGGAUUUAGGAUGCAACGAAAUCAUAGGAGAGUCGGAGAGACAAACCUCCCGCCUCUCCAAGUCGGUGACGGUUUCGUGCUCAACAAGUAAUAAUACCCUAUAUAUAAGUACCUAUCGUUUCAAAACAAAACAAAAAACCUCUUCAGCCACCACUUGUAGAAUCGAAUCUCAGGUCUGAAUUUGGGUUAGUAGUAACUGGACUUUGUUUUAUCAUGGUGCUUGUUCUUCCGCCAAUGAAAUCAACCCCUGCUUCAUAUUAUGAUCAUUCAAAUGAGACUGAAAAAUCAGCUGUUGUCUAUCUUGAUCCUUUUCCUUAUUUGAAGUGUGUGGGUUUUGUUCCUCGAAAGGCAGAGGAUUUUGGGGAUGGGGGUGCGUUUCCUGAAAUUCACAUUGAGCAAUACCCUCUUGACAUGGGUAGGGACAGAUUGUUGAAGCCUGGAUCAAAGAUUGUUCCUGUUAUUAUUGAUACCCAUGGCAGUAUUGCCUAUGAUGCGAUUGUGAGGCAGAAUGAGAAUUCAAACAAGAUUCUUUACUCACAGCAUAAAGAUCUUGAACCUAAGGUUAUGAAAUAUGACUGUGAAGAGAAAUGUGAUGAUGAAGAGCUGAAGAAAGAGAUUGAGAAGAGUAAGAGAUUGAGAAGACAACACUAGAAACAAAAGCUGCACUUGAAAAGAUUGUGAAUGUGAGGUUGAGUGCGGCACAACCAAAAAAUGUGCCAAAACAGUCUUCUGACUCAAACUUUAUCAAGUAUAAACCGUCACAACAAUCAGCUGCGUUCAACUCGGGGGCUAAAGAGAGGAUAAUCAGGAUGAUGGAGAUGCCUGUGGAUCUGCUUGAGCCUCCUAAGUUCAAGCAUAAGCAUGUUCCAAAGGCUUCUGGGUCCCCACCUGUACCAGUGAUGCGUUCUCCUCCUCGGCCCAUGACUGUGAAGGACCAACAAGAUUGGAAGGUCCUACCUUGCAUUUCAAAUUGGAAGAACCCAAAAGGUUACACGAUUCCUCUUGAUAAGCGUCUCGCAGCUGAUGGUAGAGGCCUUCAAGAUGUCCAGAUCAAUGAUAAUUUUGCAAAGCUUUCAGAAGCAUUGUAUGUUUCAGAGCAGAAGGCCCGAGAAGCUGUAACCAUGAGAUCAAAGGUUCAAAAGGAGAUGAUGAUGAAGGAGAAGGAAAGGAAAGAACAUGAACUGAGGGCACUAGCUCAAAAGGCACGUUUUGAGAGAACUGGUGUGGUACCCCCUGCUGCUGUUUCAAUCCCCUCUGAGAAGAAUGCCAUGGAUAGUUCUGAUAUGAGAAUUGAUCGUGAGCACGCUAGGGAAAAAGAGAAGGAUCUGCCUAAGGAGACAAGGGAGGAAAGGGAAGAAUGCAUACAGCGUAAGAAAAUUCAUGAGAAGCGACGGCGAGAGAGGAAGAAGGAGAGAAAGUUGGAGGCCAAGGAUGCUGCGAUGAGAAAGAAGAGCAAGAUCACAAGAGAUAGAAAUCGUGAUGUUAGUGAGAAGGUAGCUCUUGGCAUGGCUUCUGCUGGAGCAGGAAGAGGAGAAGAGAUUAUGUAUGACCAAAGACUGUUCAACCAGGAAAAAGGAAUGAACUCUGGAUUUGCAACUGAUGAUCAAUACAAUGUGUAUGAUCAGGGCUUGUUUACUGCUCAGCCAAUGCUUUCAACCCUAUACAGGCCAAAGAAAGAUGUUGAUGCUGAGAUUCCUCGAUGUGCAGAUGGACCACUUGAGUUUGAGAAUGUGGCUGAAGAGGAUGAUUUGUUUCAAUUGGAUCAGUUUAUGACAGAGGUGAAUAGAGGGUAAGAAAGCCCUCAAUUAAGUUGGUACUGGAGGGACUAUGAGAACAAGUGCUGGAUCUUCAACGCAAGAUGGCUCUGAAAGAGGGCUGAAGAGUUGGAAACAGAACUUAUGAAAAUGGUCAAACAAGAUAAUCAGUGGCAAUUGAGCGCAAGGGUGGAGCAGUUGAGGCAAGAGUUAGCAGAGCUAAAGCAAGUUCUUGCUGACAAGAGAGUCGAAUAAGCAUGGAGCAAGAUGCAGCUCCUCAGAAAAUAUGUGUUUUUAUGUGUUUCAGGUUUGUUCUGAUCUUUAAUGUGUCCUGCUUAUUAGAAAUUCUAGUAGAGCCUAAGGAGUUUUGGAAAGAGAUAAGCAGUCUAAAAGAUUUAAUUCACAUGUGAGAAGUAGUAGCUCAUCUGUUCUCUGGGUUGAAUUUGUUGAUCAAUGACCUUAGGUUGCAAGUUUAAGGGUUAAAUGAAACAUACCCAAAACUCUAAUGUUUAAAAUGUAA